rnacentral:rRNA from 1 species
GACGUAGGGCGCGAGCGUUGUCCGGAAUUACUGGGCGUAAAGAGCUCGUAGGUGGUUUGUCGCGUUGUCCGUGAAAACUCACAACUCAAUUGUGGGCGUGCGGGCGAUACGGGCAGACUGGAGUACUGCAGGGGAGACUGGAAUUCCUGGUGUAGCGGUGGAAUGCGCAGAUAUCAGGAGGAACACCGGUGGCGAAGGCGGGUCUCUGGGCAGUAACUGACGCUGAGGAGCGAAAGCGUGGGGAGCGAACAGG